GACGAACGCUGACGGCGUGCCUAAUACAUGCAAGUAGAACGCACAGUUUAUACCGUAGCUUGCUACACCAUAGACUGUGAGUUGCGAACGGGUGAGUAACGCGUAGGUAACCUGCCUGGUAGCGGGGGAUAACUAUUGGAAACGAUAGCUAAUACCGCAUAAUAUUGAUUAUUGCAUGAUAAUUGAUUGAAAGAUGCUAUUGCAUCACUACCAGAUGGACCUGCGUUGUAUUAGCUAGUAGGUGAGGUAACGGCUCACCUAGGCGACGAUACAUAGCCGACCUGAGAGGGUGAUCGGCCACACUGGGACUGAGACACGGCCCAGACUCCUACGGGAGGCAGCAGUAGGGAAUCUUCGGCAAUGGACGAAAGUCUGACCGAGCAACGCCGCGUGAGUGAAGAAGGUUUUCGGAUCGUAAAGCUCUGUUGUAAGAGAAGAACGGGUGUGAGAGUGGAAAGUUCACACUGUGACGGUAUCUUACCAGAAAGGGACGGCUAACUACGUG
rnacentral:rRNA from 1 species